CACAAUUAAAUUAUCAGAUAUGUGGACAACCAGCUGUUUGGCUGAAGAGGGAGAAGGCAACACUGAGGCUGUGAAGUCCUUCAUCUUGGGCUGGCCCACUCAGAACUUUGUGGCCACUUUCAAUUCUUCACAGGAAAAAGACAAAUGGCUUUCUCUUCUUCAGUGGAACAUCGAUCUGGAAAAAGUCAAAGAUGACCCAAAGAACAUUCCCUU